CAGCCACCCCGCUGGACCAUGAGGUGACCUUGAGUAAAGUGGCCGCCUGCAAAGGAGAGUGGAAGCGGACAAGAUCCCACGGAAUCAGCAUACCAGCUCAGAUACUCAGUCAUUCCAUAAACAGCCUUCCCUGACUUCCCCAAGCUGGACCAGGACCCCUCCAGAAACCCGCAGGCCCCAGGCUCCUCCUUUCUCAGUGUGCCAAUGUCCGUCUCCUCCCCCGGUCCAUCUACCCCUUCAGGGCAGGGACGAAGUACUGGACCUUCUACAACCCCAUGUGAAGGCUCUCUGGCCGGAGGACUGCCUGCUCAGGACGUAGCACAAGGCCCGAAAUUGCUGGCUUUUACGCUCUGAGAAUCAUGAUGUGCUUCCCUGCAAAUGGAUCGGUCACCCACCUUCUUUCCUGGGCACACACACUCUCCCCUCUGAGCCCCACAGUGGCCCCCCCUGGGGUAAGGGGCCUCGUUCUGAUCUCUGCUUCCUCCCCUCUCCACCCCGUGUGCUCCGCUUACA